UUUGGGGUUCACUAGAUGACAGCAGCAGAAGGAUAGGAUAGCUACGAAGGGGACUCCUUUAUCAUAGGGAACAAAGAUUCAAGAGCAUCAGCUGCAGUAAAUGAAGAGGGAUAAGUUUGAGUGAACUGACUCAAAAAGAAUAUUGUAGACCCAAAUAAUUUUAAACGUGUUUUCAGGGAUUCUUUAGGUGUAGUAUUAACUGUCCAAAAAGUGGGAAGGGGCCCGUUUUAGGUGUUCUGUUGUUUAUCAACAAUUUGGAUUCUAAAUGUUUAUUAUUAAGUUAGAAUAUUUAGAAUUUAAAAACAUUUCUUCAUAGUUUCAAUGUAGAAAUAAUGGUUGGGUUUCCAGGACAGCUUGCACUUGUAGCCAAAGCAGGCAAUAGAAUAGAGUAGGAAAAAACAGUCUGAGUUAGGAGACCAGCUGAGUAUUGCUCUUCAAGUCACUUAAACUCUCUGGGCCACGAUUCUUCAUCUGUAAUGUGAGUUUGAACUACAAUAGAUGGUCCUUCUCAGUUCUAAAAUUCUGUGGUCACAUUCACAGUGGAAGCACUAUAUUUAACACAGGUAUUAUGGGAAAAUGUAGUUUUCAGAUUUGAGCAUGCCUGAAACACAUCUUCCUCCAAACCCAGAAAGGAAAUAGGUACUUCACUACCACAGUUGAGACUCUGUAUCCAGAGAGAGAUCACAAAUUGAAACAUGCUGGUAACAGAUGGUUGCUACACUCUGUGGUGAACAUAGAAUAAUGAAUAGACUUGUGGAAUCACUAUGCUGUAUACCUAAAACUAAUGGAACAUUGUAUCAACUAUACUUCAAUUAAAAAACAAAGGUACUUCAGAAAUACUACUAAGGUUCUAGCAUUAGGGGCUCUUCUCUGUUUAGGAGUAUUUUUUUCUCAAUCUGUUGGGUCCCUAGGAUUACAGAUCCCAGUUGCAGUACUGAGGUUCUGGAGUCAGCUAAGGACAUUCUGGCUUUGGUGCUCCAAAUUCUUGAUUAUGAAAUGGAGAUUUGGGCAUCAUCUCUGCUGUUAGAGAGCUAGGGGAUUCCAGCUUUAUCUCUGAUGCUUGUUCAUAUGUAUUGAUCAUUUGGGACAGCACUACCUAUAGAGUGUUCUCUUGUAGAAUUAAGUGAAGCCUAUUUUUCCUGUGUUUACAAUCCUGGUUUAUUUUGAUUUUUAAUUGCUGGUUUCCUGAAGCAUUCUAAAAGAAAUAUUAUUUUAUUCGCAUUGGUAUAAAAAAUUCUUUUUCCUGCAUUCUUUUAAGUGACCCAAUGAAUAGAUUAACUCUGGAAACACUAUACAGCUGAUGGAUAUGUCUUUUAAUUCAUUUUUUAUUGUAAUAAGGAGAUGGAUGUUUACACAUUCUCUUUACCCUUAUCUUUAAUCCCGUAGAAGUUCCAAGUUUGCUUAAUAGAAUAUGACCUGCAUGUAACUGGGUAUAUUUAUGGAAGGAAGCUUAACAUAAUGCUUAAGUGCCUGGAUUCUGGAGCAAGAUUACCUGGAUUUGAAUCCUAGCUUCACCACUUACCAGCUGUACGACUUUGUGAAUUACCCAACCUCUAUACCUCAAUAUCCUUAUCUGUAAAAUAGGGAUAUAGUCACCUGUUGUUAUGUGGAUUAUAUGAUUCAAAUAUUUGUUCAGCACUUAGAACAAGUCUUCCUCACUGCAAGCACUACAUGAUGAAGAACGAGAACUUCAGAUGGAUCCUGCGGACUAUGGAAAGCAACGUUUCAAUGAUGUUCUUUAAGCCCUAAAGGAAAACUUCAGAAAACCUAAAGUGCUGUAAAAUGGAAUUCUUUCUACUUCAUUGUUUUUGACUUUUGUUGUAAAGAUCAGUUGUAAAGAUACAUUGAGAUAGAUUUAAGGAAAGAUUUUAAUGAAGAAAUGUACCCCUGUACAUAGGUGAACUUUUUCAUAUUGUAUUAUUAAAGCAGAGAUUUUUUCAGUUAUAUUACAGUCGAGCCAAAAACAAAGUAAACAAACCUGUAAUCUUUGCAUUUAAAAUGAACUAAUGUAUAUUUUACAUUUUAUUGAGCCUAAUUCUUUCCACAAAUGGACAAAUAGGAAAAAUUGGUUGUACAGUUUAUAUGUUGCACAUAGCAUAACCCUAGUGAGAAUAGUUACUCAGCUGAAAAACUUUUUAUACACUAAUAUAUUCUUGCUAGCCCAACAGGUGUUCUGUUCUAGCUACCCCUCAUCUCAUGCUCUUCAUGGAGUUAUACCUAGAAUAGUUACAUAAAAGAGGGGUUGAAUCCUGAAAGCCAAACACUGGGCAGCAUGUGUACAAAAUCAUUUCCCUACUUCUUUUAUUUUACAUGAGUGCUGAUGUGUUUUGGCAGAUAGCUUUCAGCUGAUGCCUGACAGAAGUUGAGGUAACCUGCAAAGACAUAACAAUAUUUAUGAGUUAUACCUUACUUAGUUCAUGAAAUUGUGAAAUGCAUGAUUGACAAUAUAUUUUCAAUUUUUAUUUUCUCACAUCAUACUAGUACCAUUUAACUUUAACCAUCAUUGGCUAAAAUUUUUAUAUUUUCAGAGUCCAAGUUGGUGAAAAUAUUCAUGGUUUAAAUGCCAGAUUCUGAAAGAAGCUAAAUCAACUUUGAAACAAAUCUGCAAUCAGUAUUUCAAAGCUUCUGUUGUAGUUAUAGUGAUGUUACUUGACUAGAAUUUUUCAGAAGUACUAAAUAAGGAGUUUUAACAGAUUUUUAUUAAUGCACAGAUAAGUAGAAGUACAGUGAGGUCUACAGCCAUUUUAUUAAAAUAGCUUAAAAGUUUGUAAUAAAGAUGAAGAAUCUUUGUAAUUAAUAUGUUGUUAAGAACCCAUAAACCUCAUAUUUGGUAGACUUAAAAAAUUAUUUUAAAUGCAUUUUUUUGACACUAUUCCAUAGAAUGCAUAAGCUAGUUAUAGUUAAUCUCUGCUUUUGGAUUUAAAUCUUUUAAAUUUUAUCCCCUACCCAAAAAUAAAAGGUUUUGAUGAUAAGGAGAAA